AUUGAACGCUGGCGGCAUGCCUUACACAUGCAAGUCGAGCGGCAGCGCGGGGGCAACCCUGGCGGCGAGCGGCGGACGGGUGAGUAAUACAUCGGAACGUGUCCUUUCGUGGGGGAUAACCAGUCGAAAGACUGGCUAAUACCGCAUGAGAUCUCACGAUGAAAGCGAGGGACCCGAGGGUAACUUCGGGCCUCGCGCGAUUGGAGCGGCCGAUGCCGGAUUAGCUAGUUGGCGGGGUAAAAGCCCACCAAGGCGACGAUCCGUAGCUGGUUUGAGAGAACGACCAGCCACACUGGGACUGAGACACGGCCCAGACUCCUACGGGAGGCAGCAGGUGGGGAGUUUUGGACAAUGGGGGCAACCCUGAUCCAGCCAUGCCGCGUGUGUGAAGAAGGCC
rnacentral:rRNA from 1 species